rnacentral:tRNA from 1 species
GUGGCUCAGUGAUUAAGAGCACUGGUUCCUUUUCCAGAGGACCUGGGUUCAAUUCCCAGC